UACGUAGGGACCAAGCGUUGUUCGGAAUCACUGGGCUUAAAGGGCGCGUAGGCGGGCUAUCAAGUCCGGGGUGAAAUCCUCCAGCUUAACUGGAGAACGGCCUCGGAUACUGAUGGUCUCGAGGAGGAUAGGGGCACACGGAACUGUGGGUGGAGCGGUGAAAUGCGUUGAUAUCCAUAGGAACUCCGGUGGCGAAAGCGGUGUGCUGGAUCCUUUCUGACGCUGAGGCGCGAAAGCCAGGGGAGCAAACGGG
rnacentral:rRNA from 1 species